GGCCUUGUAGUUGAUAUACAACAUUAAAUUGCAGCUUUAAAAGAGUGCUUAACACCAAGGCUU
rnacentral:tRNA from 1 species